CCUACGGGCGGCUGCAGUGGGGAAUAUUGCACAAUGGGCGCAAGCCUGAUGCAGCCAUGCCGCGUGUGUGAAGAAGGCCUUCGGGUUGUAGAGCACUUUCAGCGGGGAGGAAGGCGGUGAGGUUAAUAACCUCAUCGAUUGACGUUACCCGCAGAAGAAGCACCGGCUAACUCCGUGCCAGCAGCCGCGGUAAUACGGAGGGUGCAAGCGUUAAUCGGAAUUACUGGGCGCAAAGCGCACGCAGGCGGUCUGUCAAGUCGGAUGUGAAAUCCCCGGGCUCAACCUGGGAACUGCAUUCGAAACUGGCAGGCUAGAGUCUUGUAGAGGGGGGUAGAAUUCCAGGUGUAGCGGUGAAAUGCGUAGAGAUCUGGAGGAAUACCGGUGGCGAAGGCGGCCCCCUGGACAAAGACUGACGCUCAGGUGCGAAAGCGUGGGGAGCAAACAGGAUUAGAUACCCGGGUAGUC
rnacentral:rRNA from 1 species